CUCCCUGUUGUCCAGUGGUUAAGAUUCUGCACUUCCAAUGCAGGGGGAACAGGUUCAAUUCCUGGUAAGGGGA
rnacentral:tRNA from 1 species